ACGGUACGCAGAGGCUUCUACGUGUGAUCAGUGCGAUGAGGGCAGAAAUCCAAAAGCUGGAGCUGGAGAACAUGAGCCUGAGGAGGACUGCUGGAGCCAAUCUCAGAAAGAAUGCAACAGUUCCUGUCAUGACACCAGAAUGCAGAGAGAGCGUCGUCAUGACAGUGAGGAGAUAUUCCACCUUCCAGCCGUUGGUCGACCAUCGGAACGUGCAGUUGGAUGACGAUAAACGCACUGAAAAACGGCAACGACUGCAGAUCGUAAAUACUCCUGGAAAGUCCUCAUGGCUCCAAGGAACAACGUUGUAAACCGUGACCAAGGAGAUGGGACGCCGCCCUUGCGACCAGGCAGCAGGACAGGAGGCGUGUUUGCUGAA
ensembl:lncRNA